rnacentral:rRNA from 1 species
CCUACGGGUGGCAGCAGUGAGGAAUAUUGGUCAAUGGGCGGGAGCCUGAACCAGCCAAGCCGCGUGAGGGAAGAAGGUACAGCGUAUCGUAAACCUCUUUUGUCAGGGAACAAAGGCGGGGACUAGUCCCCGGUUGAGGGUACCUGAAGAAAAAGCAUCGGCUAACUCCGUGCCAGCAGCCGCGGUAAUACGGAGGAUGCGAGCGUUAUCCGGAUUUAUUGGGUUUAAAGGGUGCGCAGGCGGCCUGUUAAGUCAGCGGUCAAAGCCCGGGGCUCAACCCCGGCGAGCCGGUGAAACUGGCGGGCUGGAGUUGGAGAGAAGUACGCGGAAUGCGCGGUGUAGCGGUGAAAUGCUUAGAUAUCGCGCAGAACCCCGAUUGCGAAGGCAGCGUGCCGGCUCCACACUGACGCUGAGGCACGAAAGCGUGGGUAUCGAACAGGAUUAGAUACCCCUGUAGUC